rnacentral:lncRNA from 1 species
AAAUUAAAAUUGAGAAUGGAAAUGGGGAAUGUGCCAAAGAGACAACAACCCGACAAUAGAAAAAAACAACAGCAGAAGGUCACCAACAGGUCUUCAAUGUAGCGAGAAAUUCCCGCACCCGGAGGCGUCCUUCAACUGGCCCCUAAACAAAUGUAUACUAGUUCAGUGAUAAUGAACGCCAUACUAAUUUCCAAAUUGUACACAAGAAACUAAAAUUAAAAUAAUACAAGAC